rnacentral:rRNA from 1 species
UGCCGCGUGCAGGACGAAGGCCUUCGGGUUGUAAACUGCUUUUGUACGGAACGAAACGGCUCUCUCUAAUACAGGGGGCUAAUGACGGUACCGUAAGAAUAAGCACCGGCUAACUACGUGCCAGCAGCCGCGGUAAUACGUAGGGUGCGAGCGUUAAUCGGAAUUACUGGGCGUAAAGCGUGCGCAGGCGGUUUUGUAAGACAGAUGUGAAAUCCCCGGGCUCAACCUGGGACCUGCAUUUGUGACUGCAAAGCUAGAGUACGGCAGAGGGGGAUGGAAUUCCGCGUGUAGCAGUGAAAUGCGUAGAUAUGCGGAGGAACACCGAUGGCGAAGGCAAUCCCCUGGGCCUGUACUGACGCUCAUGCACGAAAGCGUGGGGAGCAAACAGGAUUAGAUACCCUGGUAGUCCACGCCCUAAACGAUGUCAACUGGUUGUUGGGUCUUCACUGACUCAGUAACGAAGCUA